AUUGAACGCUAGCGGGAUGCCUUACACAUGCAAGUCGAACGGAGUGGCGAACGGGUGAGUAAUGUAUCGGUACGUGCCCAGUAUCAGGGGAUAACUACGCUAAAGCAUAGCUAAUACCGCACACUAUUGGAUCGGCCGAUAUCGGAUUAGCUAGUUGGUGGGGUAACGGCUCACCAAGGCGACGAUCCGUAGCUGGUUUGAGAGGACGACCAGCAACACUGGGACUGAGACACGGCCAAGACUCCUACGGGAGGCAGCAGUGGGGAAUUUUGGAAAAUGGGGGAAACCCUGAUCCAGCAAGCCCGGGUGUGGGAGGAAGGCCUUCGGGUUGUAAAGCACUUUUGGAAGGAAAGCGGUACCUGCAGAAUAAGCACCGGCUAACUACGUGCCAGCAGCCGCGGUAAUAC
rnacentral:rRNA from 1 species